rnacentral:lncRNA from 1 species
GAGGGACGGGGACCUGCGGCUCGCGGAGGCUGUGGGGGACGGGGGUGGAGGCGAAGAUGUGGUCGGAGGCGGAGGGCCCCUCGUUGGAGAGGCCCUGCAUCCGCUUGACGUAGAGGCGGUACUUCUGGAGGUGGCUGGCGACGUUCUCGCGGGUGAGCCCCUCCACGUUCAUCAGCUGCAUGAUGGUCUUGGGCACGGCGCUCUUGAUCCCCAGGUGCGCCACCACCUCCACGAACCGCUUGUGCAGCUGCGGCGUCCACACCAGCCGCGCCCGCUUCGUCGCCGCCGCCGCAGACUUCUCCCCCGCCGACUCGGCCGAGCUGUUGUUGUUGUUGUCGUCCCCGGCCGCCGACGACUUGCCGGGGAAGGACGGGAAGGAGCCGCCGGUGGCGGGGGCGUUGCCGGAGGAGGGGGACGAGGAGGCGGAGCGGAGGCGGGACACGGUGGCGGAGGACGCGCGGUGCACGUCCAGAAGCGUGCGCCCCGGCUCCGGCGGGAUGCGGAACGCGGCGGCGAGCCCCGGCGGCACCAGCGGCUGAGACAGCGGGGUCAGCUCGUCGCACCCCGGCAGCCCCGUCUCCCACUCGGUCACCCUCCCUUCAUACCCACCAUAUCCUCCGAAGUCAAAACCGUAGCCGCCGGCCUCCUCCCCCAUGGCUUGGCUUGGAUUGGAUCCCCAACCCAACCAGCGAACCGAGAGAAAUUCAACAACCUAGCAACACCAAUCGAGCCCCCGACGAAUCAACUUACCCUCGCCAUCUCCGUAUCAUCUAGGAGUAGUUAACACCUGCCGGGGUAGCAAACUCCGGCGGCCGGCGGCCGGCGGCGGUGGGUGGAGGAGGAGAGCAGGAAAGAAGAUAUUUUUGUGGGGUGGGGCGGGAUGAGGUGGGCGGGGGCGGGGGAUAAUUUAAUGGCCGGAAAAGGGAAUAAAGCGCAGAUCGGGAUGGCCACGUGGACCGGUCACCGCGAUAUUUUCGAUACGCUUUUCCCCAUCGCGACCGUCCGUUCCCGAUGGCACGAUCGUAAUUCCCCGCGCGCUUUCCGGCCGACGUGGACCGGCGAUGUUGCCUCGAGAUCCGUGCGCGGCCCGAUCGGACGGCCACGUGUCACACGCUUUUCCUUAUGCGAUUUCGUUGGGGUCGCUCUCGGGCGGCCCAUUUUUAGUUUUGGACGGGAGACUUUUGUUUCCCACAGCGAGCAAUAAAAUGUUCUCACCAAAAAAAAAAAGCAAUUACAAUUGCUUUCCCGUUUGCUGAUUGGAAUAGAAAAUUCUUGCACAUGGUGGAUAGAUUCUGGCUUCUGAGCAAUAAUGCCCAAUAUUCUUUGGUCUUUUUUUGUAAAGUUCCGGCUACGGAUAUUUUUGGUACGAUAUUUUCUCUCGGAUAUUUGGUUUGCGCAUUAACGAUAAUCUUUUUGUUUUCGAUAUACAUAUACUCUGUAGGAGGUGUUUUGAGAUGAAUAUUGGAAAUAUCGUGGAGCUACAACUCGUCUUAUAUGGAGCUAGAGAAAUGAUUUACUAGAGGAGGAGUGUGAGGAACUAAUGUGUUUCACUUUGUUUUCAUGUCGGUUUUUCCUUGUCUUAGCGAAUGCGUCUUGGGAACUUUCUAACCUUAUUCAAAACAGUUAUAGACCAGCCCGAUGGUGGUUAGAUAUUUCUUUGAGAUUUAUGUACAACUGGAUCACACAGACAGCAAGGGCCUACACUUCUACAUAUGAUUCUAUUCUGGUAUGUUGUCCCUCUCGGCUCAUUUUGGAGCACAGCCUUUUGCUUGUUCAAACUCGCUAGCAAAAGAAAAUUGAUUGACAGAGUUUUUAGUGACUCAGUCGUAUCAAGGCCAUACAACUGCAAACAAUGUCUCUUGAAAAAAGACACUAGAUGUGCUAGGCAGAAUGAUCCUUUCAUAUGAAAUAUUUUAGUUGUCUUAUUUUCAAAUAUUCACUUGUAACACGAAAUGAGUAAAAGCUGAAAGACUCACCUUGUACAGGACCAAAACACAAAUUCCAAAUUACCUGCUCAUGAAACGACUCCGUUGUAGUGAAAGGUUCUUCCACUUUAUUUUUGUGAUCCUUCGGAUCAAAAUCCAUCUAUACGCUGCUAAAAAAAAUCCAUCUAUACGAAUGAUACAUAGAACUUAUUUUGUGCGGACUAGCUAAAGGCUUUUUGUGAGCUUCCAUAGUUAUUUCGUGUGCGACCAUGGACAUAGAAAAUGUUUGACAUUAUGGCUUGAUUCAUCGGACCUUCUGCUUUGAGAUAUUUUUUCCUUGGAAUAAUUUUUUGUUUACUAAUGAUAGUGUUUUCCUUACAUCAUCCAACUUAUUUUCACCACCACCUCCACCCGUUGCCCUUUUACUUUUGCCACUGUCCACACUCAUGGCAUGAUCGUAAUACACACACGCUUUCUGGGUGGUCUUGAUUGUGAUGUGAACCCCGAAUAUUUCUUUGAGAUUCGUGCUUGGCCUAAUCAUGCGUCCAUGUGUCGCAUACUUUUUCUUAUGCGGUUCGGUGGUGUUCUCGUGUCAACCCAUGGCCAACCCAUUUUUAUUUUGGCGGGGAGACUUUUGCUUGCCCGGUCAACCUCAAACAACACCUAUAUAUAUAUAUAUAUCCUACAACUAGCAAAUUAAAGUGCUUUGUCUUUUGCUUAUUGGAACCAAAAUUCUUGCAGCUGGUGGAUAGAUUCGAGCAUGUGUGCAUUAAUGUCCAAUAUUCUUUAGGCCUUUUUCGAAUAAAGUUGCCAGGAUAUUUAUCCUCGGAUAUUUUCUCUCCGAGUUUUAAUUUGUCAGUGAAGGAUAAAAUUUUUUGGUUAUCAAUAUAGAUUUAUUAACAUAUUCUGUAAGAAAUGUUUUGAAGUGAAUAUUGGAAAUGUGGUGGAACAAAAACUCCUUUUAUAGAGCUAAAUAAAUAAUUCAUCUUUUCACUUCGAGAUAUUUUUUCCAUGGGAUAACUUUUUGUUUAUGAAUGAUAGUGUCUUGUUUACAUGAUACCCCAUCCCCAAACACACGCGCGGGCGGGUACACACACAUAAGGCAAUGUAUGAUAUUUUAGUUUUUCUGGGUUAACAUUGGAUACUUUUUUUUAAUCUGAAUGCAUAGUCGAAAAACAUAUUAUUAAAGUAUAACUGCCAGGGACACUGUUUGGGCAUAUUGUUUCCUUAGUAGUUUUGGUGAUUGAUGACAAUGCAUUUUGCAGACUAACCAUGUGCAUUGAGUAUUUGAGAGAUUAUACUAGAUGGCACAAAACGGUUUAUUUCCCCGUGGUGAUUAAGACUGACGACGGUUAUUUUCCGACGAUCUCUUUUUGAUGGAUUUUAGUCAUUGGAAAACCAUACUAUUAAGAGGGGGUCCAGAGUGAAAAGUUUAGGGUGAAAUAAAAAACAUACACAUUGCAUUUGCACCCUCUUUCCCUUCCCGACAAAUGGAGUUCCUUCCUGUUCUCUGCUUGGGCUUUCUUGAGGCGCCCAAGCAGUAGUACCACCCUUGGGAGCGGUAGUGCUACCGCGGCCCAGGACCGCCGUACCAUCGCUUGGGUUUGUGCUUCCGUUUCCCUCCCUUUUUCAUGGUGGUAGGGCGGUGAUUAAUUGCGGAUGUACCGCCCUUAGAGGUAGUACCGCUCGCGUAGGGCGGUAAUGUCGCUUAGUGCAGUAUUGCAGCUCCUGCUACCGCUGGCACUACCGCAACACUUAUUAUGGCCUCGAGAAACUCGUGUUCGCAUUAACGGGAGUACAGCGGAUGUGGAUCGCGGUAUUUCUGCCCUGCCCAACUCUACUACCGUGGCGUGUCUGCGUUGUGCUAUACACAACGGUAGUAUCGCUCAUAGGACCGGUAGUACUGCUCUGGCAGAACUACCGUGUUGCGGCUCGCCCACUUGCACACGUCGGCUGGUACCAUGGCUCCAAGGGGUAAUACCGCUCUCUCGAGUGGUAGUACCGCUUAUGUGCGUCUCCGGGCAGAAAACAGUUGGAUUUGUCCCCCCACUAUAUAAAGAGGUCCUUUUCCCCAGGAAGAGCUACCUCUUUUCCCCCAAGCUCCAUUGUUGUUACAAAGCUCAUUUUCACCCGACCUCUCUCCCUAGCCAUCAAAUCUUGUUGAUUUCUUAGGUUUGCUUGAGAGGGCACUGAUCUACACUUGCACCAAGAUAAAUUUGGUUCCCCCAAUAAUCCUUGAGUGUUUCGGCACCCUAGAAAUAAGAUAUCACAAUUAUGGUGAAGCUUCGUGGUGGUGUUCAAAGCCUCCAAUGAAGUUGUGGAGAGAGCCCCAACCUUGUUUGUAAAAGGUUUGGUUGCCGCCUUAAUUGGAAACCACUAGUGGAAUCAUGGCAUCUUGUAUUGUGCGAGGACGUGAGGAGAAUACGGUGGUGUCGGGGAAAGUUGCAUGGGAAACAAAAAAAUUCCUACGCACAUAAAAGAUCUAUCCAUGAUGAUGACUAUCUACGAGAGGGGAGAUCGGAUCCACAUACCCAUGUAGAUCACUAAGCGGGAAGCUUUAAGAAACGCAGCUGAUGUAGUUGAGCGUAUUUGCUAUCCAAAUCACAAGCUGUCCCAUGAUCCAAUCAUGAUCUAGUGCCGAACUGAUGGCACCUCUGCGUUCAACACAUGUACAGCUCAAUGACGAUCUCUGCCUCCUUGAUCGAGCAAGUGAGGGCGGAGAGGUAGAUGAUUUCUCCGGCAGCACAACGACGUGGUGGCGGUGGUGGUGAACUAAUCCGACAUGGCUUCGCCGAGCUCUAUCAAACUAAUCUAGAGGAGGGAGAUGAUCUAGAGAGGAGAGGGCAACACAUGGCUUUUUCACGUGGUGGCUGCCCUCAAACCCCCCACUAUAUAUAGGAGGAAGGGGUAGGUUGGGCUAGCAUUAGCCCCUCCUCCAAGGAGGAGGGUUCGACCAAAGUGGGGAAGGAGUCCACCUCCCAUAAGGGAGGUGGACACCCUAGGGAGGACUCUUCCUCCACCUCCUCCAUCAACUCUUGGCGCAUGGGCCUCUUAGGGUCGGCUGGCUGAUACGUCUCAAACGUAUCUAUAAUUUUUGAUGGUUUCACGCUGUUAUCUUGUCUUCUUUGGAUGUUUUAUGUACCUUUUAUAUCUUUUUUGGGACUAACUUAUUAAUUCAGUGUCAAGUGUCAGUUCCUGUUUUUUCUGUGUUUUUGACUCUUUUCAGAUUUGAUUUUGGAACGGAGUCCAAACGGAAUAAAAACCCCGAAAUGAUUUUUCCCCAACGGAAGAAGACCAGGGGAGCCUCGAAAAUACUUUUCCGCCGCCGCAAGCUUCCGUUUCCACGAGAUCUCAUCUGGAGACCCUUCCCGGCGCCCUGCCGGAGGGGACUUUGGAGUUGGAGGGCUUCUUCAUCAUCAUCAUCGCCCCUCCAAUGACUCGUGAGUNGAUCUAUCCGAUGUAAUCUUCUUUGGCGGUGUGUUUGUCGAGAUCCGAUGAAUUAUGGAUUUGUGAUGAAAUUAUCUAAGAUAUAUAUUUGAGUCUUUGAUGAUUUAUUAUAUGCAUGAUUUGAUAUCCUUGUAAGUCUCUCCGAGUCUUGGGUUUUGUUUGGCCAACUAGAUCUAUGAUUCUUGCAGUGGGAGAAGUGCUUGGUUUUGGGUUCUACCAUGUGGUGACCUUUCCCAGUGACAGUAGGGGCAGCAAGGCACACAUCAAGUAGUUGCCAUCAAGGGUAAAAAGAUGGGGUUUUUAUCAUUGGUUUGAGAUUAUCCCUCUAGAUCAUGUCAUCUUGCUUAAGGCGUUACUCUGUUCUUAUGGACUUAAUACACUAGAUGCAUGCUGGAUAGCGGUCGACGUGUGGAGUAAUAGUAGUAGAUGUAGAAAGUAUCGGUCUACUUGUUUUGGACGUGAUGCCUAUAGAUAUAAUCAUUGCAUAGAUAUCGUCACGACUUUGCGCGGUUCUAUCAAUUGCUCGACGGUAAUUUGUUCACCCACCGUCUACUUGCUUUCAUGAGAGAAGCCACUAGUAAACACUACGGCCCCCAGGUCUAUUCACAUCCAUCGUUUACACCUCCGCUUUUACUUUGCUUUGUUACUUUGUUGCUUUCAGUUCUCACUUGGCAAGCAAUCUAUAAGGGACUGACAACCCCUUCAUAGCGUUGGGAGCAAGAUUUUGUGUUUGUGUAGGAUCUUGAGAUACUCCUCCACUGGAUUGAUACCUUGGUUCUCAAACUGAGGGAAAUACUUACCACCGCUACGCUACAUCACCCUUUCGCUUCGAGGGAACACCAACGCAAGGCUCCAAGGCCACGGGGGAAAUCCUUUGCAUACUUGCCUAGGAAGUCCCUUAAGGCGUAGCCGCAGCAGAAGGAUCAAGCCAAGUAUUCUCCCGUCGACGUGCCUAUUUCUGGCAUCAUUGGAAGGUCUUUUGUUGCAGUAGCACUGGCAAGCCCACCACUGGAUGGUGUGCCACCUCCUAGGCCCAUGGCCAUGUGCCCCCCGGGGUGGGUGGGCCCCUCCCGGUGGACCCUUGGAACCCUUUCAACACUCCCCAUACAAUACCAGAAAACCCCGAAACUAUCCCGGAACCCGAAUACCAAUUUCCUAUAUAUAAACCUUUACCUCCGGACCAUUCCAGAGCUCUUUGUGACGUUUGGGAUCUCAUCCGGUACUCCGAACAACCUUUGGUUACCAACACACACAACUCAAUAAUACUGAAACGUCACCAAACCUUAAGUGUGCAGACCCUUUGGGUUCGAGAACUAUGCAGACAUGACCGAGAGACUCUCCGGUCAAUAACCAAUAGCGGGACCUGGAUGUCCAUGUUGGCUCCUACAUAUUCUAUGACGAUCUUUAUCUGUCGAAUCUCUAUGUCAAGGAUUAAAUUAAUCUCGUAUAAUGUUUCCUUUGUACAUCAGUAUGUUACUUGCCCGAGAUUUGAUCGUCGAUAUCUCUAUACCUAGUUCAAUCUCGUUACCGGCAAGUCUCUUUACUCGUUCUGUAAUACAAGAUUCCGUGACUAAAUCCUUAGUCACAUUGCUUGCAAGCUUCUUGUGAUGUUGUAUUACUGAGUGGGCCCUAGAGAUACCUCUCCGUCAUACGGAGUGAGAAAUUCCAGUCUCGAUUCACGCCAACCCAGCAUACACCUUUGAAGAUACCUGUAGAGCACCUUUAUGGUCACCCAGUUACAUUGUGAUGUUUGAUACACACAAGGCAUUCCCCCGGUGCCCGGAAGUUGCAUGAUGUCAUGGUCAAAAUAGAUACUUGACAUGCAUGUAGAAAAUUGUAGUAAUAAACUGACAUGAUCACAUGCUACGUUCAUAGUUUGGUUCUUGUCCAUCACAUCAUUCUCAUAAUGAUGUGAACCCGUUAUCAAAUGACAAGUCAUGUCUAUGGCCAGGAAACCUUGACCAUCUUUGAUAAACGAGCUAGUCCUUAAGAGGCUUACUAGGGACAGUGUGUUGUCUAUGUAUCCACACAUGUAUUUGAAUUUCCAAUCAAUACAAUUCUAGCAUGGAUGAUAAACGAUUAUCAUGAACAAGGAAAUAUAAUAAUAAUCACUUUAUUAUUGCCUCUAGGGCAUAUUUCCAACAGUCUCCCACUUGCACUAGAGUCAAUAAUCUAGCUCACAUCACUAUGUGAUUUACAUUGUAAUGAAUCUUACACCCAUACAGUUCUGGUGUCGAUCAUGUUUCGCUCGUGGAAGAGGCUUAGUCAAUGAGUCUGCAACGUUCAGAUUCGUGCGCACUUUGCAAAUUCUUAUGCUCUCCUCCUUGAUGUAAUCACGGAUGGAAUUGAAGCGUAUCUUCAUGUGUCUGGGCCUCUUGUGAAACCUUGGUUCCUUGGCUAGAGCAAUUGCACCAGUGUUGUCACAGAACAGAGUCAUUGGAUGAAGUGCACUGGGCACAACUCCAAGAUCUGUCAUCAACUCCUUCAUCCAGACACCUUCUUUAGCCACCUCCGAGGCAUCUAUGUACUCCUCUUCACAUGUGAUUUGCUUGGAACCACAUGAGCUUACCACAGCCCCAUUGAGAAUAAACACGUAUCUGGUUUGAGACUUAGAGUCAUCCGCAUCAGUGUCAAAGCAUGCAUCGACGUAACCCUUUACACGAGCUCUUGAUCACCUCCAUGCACGAGAAACAGUUCUUUAGUACUUUUCAGGUACUUCAGAAUAUUCUUGACCGUUGUCGAGUGUUCCAUUCCUGGAUGACUUCGAAACCUUCGGCCAUACUUAUGGCAAGGCUGACAUCGGGCAUUGUGCACAUCAUUGCAUACAGGAUAGAGCCUAUGGUUUAAGCAUAGGGGAUGACACUCAUCUUUUCUCUAUCUUCUGCAGUCACUCGGCAUUGAGUCUUACUCAACUUCACACCUUGCAAUACAGGCAAGAACCCUUUCUUGGACUGAUCCAUUUUGAACUUCUUCAAAACUUUGUCAAGGUAUGUGCUCUGUGAAAGUCCUAUUAGAAAUGACUCUGUUCUUGAUCUGUCAAGGUAUGUGAACUUCUUCAAAACUUUGUCAAGGUAUGUGAUCUUUAAGCGUCUUGAUCUGUUUCUAUAGAUCUUGAUGCCUAAUAUGUAAGCAGGUUCUCCUAGCUCCUUCAUUGAAAAACUCUUAUUCAAAUAAUCCUUUACACUUCCCAAAAAUUCUAUAUUGUUUCCAAUCAGCAAUAUGUCAUCCAAAUAUAAUAUUAGAAAUGCUAUAGAGCUCCCAUUCGCUUUCUUGUAAAUACAAGCUUCUCCAUAAACUUGUAUAAACCCAAACGCGUUGAUCACCUCAUCAAAGCGUUGAUUCCAACUCCAAGAUGCUUGCACCAGUCCAUAAAUGGAUCGAUGGAGCUUGCAUACUUUGUCAGCAUUCUCUGGAUCGACAAAACCUUUUGGUUGCAUCACAUACAACUCUUCCUUAAGGAAACCGUUAAGGAAUGUUGUUUUGACAUCAAUCUGCCAAAUUUCAUAAUCGAAAAUGCAGCUAUUGCUAACAUGAUUCUGACGGACUUAAGCAUUGCUACGAGUGAGAAAGUCUCAUCGUAGUCAACUCCUUGAACUUGUGAAAAACCCUUUGCCACAAGUCGAGCUUUAUAGAUAGUGGUAUCAACGUCGGCGUCCGUCUUCUUCUUAAAGAUCCAUUUCUUCUGAAUGACCUUUCUCCCUUCAGGUAAUACUUCCAAAGUCCAUACUUUGUUUUCAUACAUGGAUCCUAUCUCGAAUUUCAUGGUCUCUAAACAUUUGUUUGAAUCCGGGCCCACCAUCACUUCUCCAAAGCUCGUUGGUUCAUUGUUAUCCAACAACAUGACUGCUAAGACAUGGUUACCGUACCACUGAGGAGCAGUACGUGCCCUUGUCGACCUACGAGGUAUGAUAGCUACUUGAUCCGAAGCUUCAUGAUCAUCAACAUUAGCUUCCUCUUCAACUGGCGCGGGCUCCACAGAAACACCUUUUUGUGCUGUGUUACUCUCUGAUUGAAGCAAAUGUUCAAUAACCUCAUCAAGUCCUAUCUUCCUCCCACUCAAUAGUUUUGAGAGAAACUCUUUCUCAAGAAAUAUUUCACUUUUAGCGAAAAAUACUUUGCCUUUGGAUCUGAGAUAGAAGGUAUACCCAACUGUCUCUUUUGGGUAUCCUAUGAAGACGCAUUUCUCCGCUUUGAGUUCCAGCUUUUCAAGUUGAAGCUUUUUGACAUAAGCAUCACAUCCCCAAACUUUAAGAAACGAAAACUUUGGUUUCUUGCCAAACCACAGUUCAUAUGGCGCCAUCUCAACGGAUUUUGAUGGUGCCCUAUUUAAAGUGAAUGCAGCUGUCUCUAAUGCAUAACCCCAAAACGAUAGUGGCAAAUCGGCAGGAGACAUCAUAGAAGGCACCAUAUCUAAUAUGUUUCGAUUACGACGUUUGGAUACACCAUUACGCUAUGGUGUUCCGGGCGGUGUCAACUGUGAAACAAUUCCACAUUCUCUUAGGUGAGUGCCAUACUCAUAACUCAGAUAUUCUCCUCCUCGAUCAGAUCGUAGGAACUUGAUCUUCUUAUUACGAUGAUUCUCCACUUCACUCUCAAAUUGCUUGAACUUUUCAAACAUUUCACCCUUGUGUUUCAUUAAGUAAAUAUAACCAUAUCUACUUAAGUCAUUGGUGAAGGUGAGAAAAUAACGAUAUCCACCGCGCACCUCAAUGCUCAUCGUACCGCACCUUAGUAUGUAUGAUUUCCAAUAAUUCACUUGCUCGCUCCAUUGUUUCAGAGAAUGGAGUUUUAGUCAUCUUGUCAAUGAGGCAUGGUUCACAUGUGUCAAGUGAUUCAAAAUCAAGUGACUCCAAAAGUCCCUCAGCAUCGACUUUCUUCAUGCGUUUUACACCAAUAUGACCUAAGCGGCAGUGCCACAAGAAAGUGGUACUAUCAGUAUCAACUCUAGAUCUUUUGGCAUCAAUGUUAUGAACAUGUGUGUCAUCACUAUCGAGAUUCAAUAAGAACAAACCAUUCACAUUGGGUGCAUGUCCAUAAAAGAUAUUAAUCAUAUAAAUAGAACAACCAUUAUUAUCUGAUUUAAAUGAGUAACCAUCUCGCAAUAAACAAGAUUCAAAUAUAAUAUUCAUGCUCAACGCAGGCACUAAAUAACAAUUAUUCAGGUUCAUGACUAAUCCCGGUGGUAAUUGAAGUAAGAGCGUGCCGACGACAAUCGCAUCAACCUUGAAACCAUUUCCCACGCGCAUCGUCACUUCGUUCUUCGCCAACCUCCUUCUAUUCCAUAGUUCCCGCUUUGAGUUGCAAAUGUGAGCAACCGAACCGGUAUCAAAUACCCAAGCACUACAACGUGAGUUCGUGAGGUACACAUCAAUAACAUGUAUAUCAUAUAUACCAUGUUUGGUGUUGGCCGCCUUCUUGUCGGCAAGAUACUUGGGACAGUUCCACUUCCAGUGACCAGUCCCCUUGCAAUGAAAGCACUCAGUUUCUGGCUUGGGUCCAGCCUUGGGUUUCUUCAUGGGAGGGGCAACUGCUUUGCCACUCUUCUUGGAGUUACCCUUCUUGCCCUUGCCAUUUUUCUUGAAACUAGUGGUUUUAUUGACCAUCAACACUUGAUGUUCUUUCUGAAUUUCUGACUCGGCGACUUUCAGCAUCGCAAACAGCUCGACGAAUGAUUUAUUCAUCCCUUGCAUGUUAUGUUUCAACACAAAGCCUUUAUAGCUAGGUGGCAGUGAUUGAAGAACUCUAUCAAUGAUUUCCUCUAGCGGGAGAAUAAUUCCCAAUUCAGCUAGACGGUUGGAAUACCCACACAUUCUGAGUAUGUGUUCACUGACAAACCCGGUCUCCUCAAUCUUGCAAGCAUGGAACUUAUCGGAGGUCUCAUACCUCUCGAUCUGGGCAAUCUUUACAAAAAAUGAACUUCAACUCCUGGAACAUCUCAUAUGCUCCAUGACGUUCAAAACGUCUUUGAAGUCCCGGUUCUAAGCCAUACAAAAUUGCACAUUGAACUACUGAGUAUUCAUCCAGACGCGAUUGCCAGACAUUCAUAAUGUCUUCAGUUGCCGGGAGGGGGGCAUCACCUCAGCUUGGCUUUCUCUAGGAACGCAUUAAAAUUCAGGGGUGCUACUGCACAAGGCAUUGAUCUACAACAUAAUUUGCAAAGAUUACUUAGACUAUUAUUCAAGACAAUGAGUUUAGUUAAUCAUAUCACUAAAUAAACUCCCACUCAAAUUGACAUCCCUCUAGUCAUUCGAGUGAUACAUGAUCCAAAUUCACCAACCCAAGUCCAAUCAUCACUUGAGAUGAGCUGGUUUCAAUGGUGAACAUCUUCAUGUUGAUCAUAUCUACUAUAGACUCAUGUUCGACCUUUCGGUAUCUUGUGUUCCAAGGUCAUGUCUGUACAUGCUAGGCUCGUCAAGUUUAACCCGAGUGUUCUGCAUGUGCAAAACUGUCUUGCACCCGUUGUAUGUGAGCGUAGAUUAUAUCACACCCGAUCAUCACGUGGUGUCUCGAAACGACGAACUUUCACAACGGUGUACACUCUAGGAGAACACAAUUUUAUCUUGAAAUUUUAGUGAGGGAUCACCUCAUAAUGCUACCGCCAUCCUAAGAAAAACAAGGUGCAUAAAAAGGAUUAACGUCACAUGCAUAUCAUAAGUGACAUGAUAUGGCCAUGAUCUUGUGCUUUUGAUCUCCAUCUCCAAAGCAUCGGCAUGAUCUCCAUCGUCAUCGGCACAAAACCAUGAUCUCUAUCAUCAUGAUCUCCAUCAUUGUGUUGCCAUCAAGGUUGUCGCCCCAACCAUGCUUGUACCACUAUUGCUACCAUUUAGCGAUAAAGUAAAGCAUUACAUAGCGCUUAAUAAUUGACACGCAUGUCAUACAAUAAUUUAAAGACAACCCUAUGGCUCCUGUCGGUUGCCAUAUCAUCGACAUGCAAGUCGAUAUUAACUAUUAAAACAUGAUCAUCUCAUACAUCAAAUACAUAUCAUCAUGUCUUUGGCCAUAUCAUAUCACAACAUACCUUGCAAAAACAAGUUAGACAUCCUCUAAUUUGUUGUUCCAUAUUUUACGUGGCUGCUAUGGGUAUCUAGUAAGAACAUUUCUUACAUAUGCAAAACCUCAAUGGUGAUAUGCAAGUUUCUAUUUAAACUUCUACAAAUACCGCCUCUAUCGAAUCAGAUUCAGAUAAAGUGGGAGAGACAGACAGCCGCCAACCAUCUUUAUGCAAUAAGUUGCAUGUCAGUCGAUGGAACCGGUCUCUCGUACGCUUCAUCCCACAAUAUCGCUGAAUCAAGAAAAUACUAAGGAGGGAAGCAAUAUGAAUAUCAACACCACAAACUCCUUUGUGUUCUACUCGAGAUGUCAUCUACGCAUAGACCUAGGUCAUGAUGCCACUGUUGGGGAAUGUUGCAUGGGAAACAAAAAAAUUUCUACGCACAUACAAGGUCUAUCCAAGGUGAUGACAAUCUACGAGAAGGGAGAUCGGAUCCACAUACCCUUGUAAAUCACUAAGUGGGAAGCAUUAAGAAACGUGGUUGAUGUAGUCGAAUGUCUUGGCGAUCCAAAUCGCAAGCCGUCCAGCGAUCCAAUCACGAUCUAGUGCCGAACGGACGACACCUCCGCGUUCAACACACGUACAACUCAAUGAUGAUCUCUGCCUCCUUGAUCCAGCAAGCGAGGGCAGAGUGGUAGAUGAGUUCUCUGACAGCGCAACGACGUGAUGGCGGUGGUGGUGAACUAAUCCGAUAGGGCUUCGCCGAGCUCUAUCGAACUAAGAGGAGGGAUAUGAUCUAGAGAGGAGGAAGGUGUGGUGUCUGCCCUCAAAACCUCUACUAUAUAUAGGAGGAAGGUGUAGGUUGGGCUGGCAUUGGCCCCUCCUCCAAGGAGGAGGGUUCAACCGAAGUGGGGAAGGAGUCUGCUACGGCAACAAAAGACCUUCCCUGGCAACGGCGCCAGGAAUCCUUCUGCUACGGGCUACGCCUAUAGGGACUUCCUUGGCAAAUAUGCAAAGGAUUUCCCCGCGGCCUUGGAGCCUUGCGUUGGUGUUCCCUUAAAGAGGAAAGGGUGAUGUAGCACAGCGGCGGUAAGUAUUUCCCUCAGUUUGAGAACCAAGGUAUCGAUCUAGUGGGAGGAUCGCGUCAAGUCACAAGUACCUGCACAAACACAAAGAGCUUGCACCCAACGCUAUGAAGGGGUUGUCAAUCCCUUAUAGAUUGUUUGCAAAGUGAGAACUGAAAGCAAAAAGUAAACAAAGCAAAGUAGAAAUGAAAGUGGAGACGAUAGUUGUGAAUAGACCCGGGGCCGUAGUGUUCACUAGUGGCUUCUCUCAUGAAAGCAAGUAGACGGUGGGUGAACGAAUUACUGUCGAGAAAUUGAUAGAACCGCGCAAAGUCAUGACGUUAUCUAUGGCAAUGAUCAUAUCUAUAAGCAUCACGUCCAAAACAAGUAGACCGAUACNCAAAGACUCAAAUAUAUAUCAUAAAUAAUCUGAUCAAAAAUCCACAAUUCAUCGGAUCUCGACAAACACACCGCCAAAGAAGAUUACAUCGGAUAGAUCUCCAUGAAGAUCAUGGAGAACUUUGUAUUGAAUAUCCAAGAGAGAGAAGAAGCCAUCUAGUUACUAACUACGGACCCGUUUGGACUCCAUUCCAAAAUCAGAUCUGAAAAGAGUCAAAAACACGGAAAAAACAGGAACUGGCACUUGGCACUGAAUUAAUAAGUUAGUCCCAAAAAAGAUAUAAAAGGUACAUAAAACAACCAAAGAAGACAAGAUAACAGCGUGAAACCAUAAAAAAUUAUAGAUAUGUUUGAUACGUAUCAAGGAUCCCCAAGCUUAACUCUGCUCGUCCUCGAGUAGGGAAGUGACAAAGAAUGAAUUUUUUAUGCUUUCAUGCUACCUAGCAUAGGUAUCCUUUGUAAUUCCUCUUAUGUGACGUGAAUUUUCUGAUCCAUUAGAUUGAAAACAAUAGUUUGCUAUUGACGUGGAAACAAUAAUAAUUCAAGCAAACUAGCAAGGUAAUCAUGAACUUCCAAAAUAACAAGGCCAAAAGAAAGUUAUCCCUACAAAAGCAUAUAGUCUGGCUAUGCUCUAUCAUCAUUGCACAACGAAUUAUAUCAUGCACAACCCCGGUAUUGGCCAAGUAAUUGUUUCACACCUUUACUUUCUCAAACCUUUUCAACUCUCACGCAAUACAUGAGCGUGAGCCAUGGUUUUACCCCUAUAGAUGGUGUGGAAUGUGGUGGAGGUUGGAAGACAAAAAGGAGAAGAUAGUCACAUUAACUAGGCAUAUCAAUGAGCUGUUGAGAUGCUCAUCAAUAGAUAUCAAUGUGAAUGAGUAGGGAUUGCCAUACAAAUGAUGCACUAGAGCUACGAGUAUGUGAAAGCUCUUAAAGAAAACUAGUGGGUGUGCAUCCAACUUGCUUGCUCACGAAGACCUAAGGCAAUUUUGAGGAAGCCUAUCAUUGGAAUAUACAAGCCAAGUUAUAUAAUGAAAAUUUCCCACUAGCAAUAUGGUGGUGACAAAACGAGAGACUCUCAAUCAUGAAGAUCACGGUGCUUAAUAUGCACAAGUGUGGAAAAAGUGGUAGCAUUGUCCCUUCUCUCUUUUUCUCUCAUUUUUUUUUAUUUUUUUGGUGGGCUCUUUGGCCUAUUUUUUUUAUUUUAGUGGGCUUCUUUGGCCUCUUUUAUUUCCUCACAUGGGACAGUGCUCCAUUAAUGAUGAUCAUCACACUUUCAACUCAAAACUUAGAGCAACUAUGACUAUAUGGAAUGCCUUCGGUAGUGUACCGUGGCAAUGAUCUAGCAUGGCAUAGACAUCAAUGGAAACAUCAUGCUAGCUAUCUUACGAUCAUGCAAUGACAAUGUAGACGUGGUGGCACAUGUCAUGGUGGUAAUUGCAUGGCAAUAUAUCUCGGAAUGACUUUGAAAAAGCCAUAAUAGGUAGGUAUGGUGGCUGUUUUGAGGGAGGCUAAUGGUGGGUUUUGUGCACCGGCGAAAGUUGCACGACACUAAGAAGAUAGUGAUGGUGGAAGGUGAAAGUGCAUCUAAACCAUGGACUCAACAUUAGUCAUGAAGAACUCAUAUACAUGUUGCAAAAGUUUUAUUAGUAAUCGAAACAAAGCAUUCAACGCAUACUCCUAGGGGAAGGGUUGGUAGGUAUAAACCAUCGCGCGAUCCCGACCACCACGCAAAGGAUGAAAAUCAAUAUACUAAUCAUGCUCAGAUUUCAUCACAUAGCGGUUCACCAUACGUGCAUGCUACGGGAAUCACUAACUUCAACACAAGUAUUUCUAGAUCCACAACACCUCACUAGCAUGACUUCAAUAUUACCAUAACCACAACUCAAAACUAAUUGAGAUGAAUCAAACUUCUCUAACUAUUCAAUGCACAUGAAGGUGGAAGUUUUCAUAUCCCUUUGGAUAACUACCCCUUUUGAGACUACUUUCAAAGCAUAGAUCAACUACCAAGCCAUGCACCGCUGUGCUCUAAAAGAUAUAAGUGAAACACAUAGAGCAAAAGUAUCUAGCUCAAAAGAUAUAAGUGAAGCACAUGUGAGCUGAAUUGUCUACCAAAAGAUAUAAGUGAAGCUCGACAAAAUCACGGUGUGUGCAUGUCUCUCUCUCUAGGUGUGCAGCAAGGAUGAUUGUGACACAACAAAAAUAAAAGACUCCUACGAUACAAGACGCUCCAAGCAAAAACACAUAACAUGUGGUGAAUAAAAAUAUAGCCCCAAGUAACGUUACCGAUGUAUUGAAGACGAGAGAGGGGAUGCCUUCCCGGGGCAUCCCCAUGCUUAGGCUUUUACGGCAUCCUUGUAUCUCUUAGGGUGCCUUGGGCAUCCCCAAGCUUGAGCUCUUGCCACUCUUUAUCUCUUUGUCCAUAAGAACUUCACCCAAAACUUGAAAACUUCACAACACAAAAGUUAAACAGAAACUCGUGAUAUCAUUAAUACAAGAAAGCAAACCACCACUUCCUUAGGUACUGAAGCAAACUUAAAUUCUACUUGUGCUGAUGUUGGGUUACUAUACUUUCAAUCUUCCAUGGCUAAUACCCCCCGAUACUAUCCAUAGUUUCAUCAAAAUAAGCAACCAACACAACAAAAACAGAAUCUGUUAACAGCAGACCAGUCUGUAGCAAUCUGUAUAUUUCGUAUAUCUCUCUUACUUCAAACAUUCUGACGAAUUACGACAGUCUGAAGAAUUUGCNAAGAACAUCAUCGAUCCUUCUCAUGGGUUUCUUGACAGUAGAAUCCGCAAGAUGCAAAUUAAGAGAACACUCUUCAAUCUCAUGAAAACCAAGAAUACGACAUAAAGACUUUGGAAUCGCGGAAACACUAGCACCCAAAUCACACAAAGCAUUGCAUUCAUAGUUUUUUAUUUUGAUUUUGAUAGUAGGUUCCCACUCAUGAUGAAGUUUUCUAGGUAUAGAGACUUAUAAUUCGAGUUUCUCUUCAAGAUAUUUCAUCAUAGCAUCUACGAUAUGUGCGGUAAAGGCUUUGCUUUGGCUAUAAGCAUGUGGAGAGUUUGGAAUGGAUUGCAUCAAACAUAUGCAUUCAAACAAGGAGAAACUAUCAUAAUUGAAUUCCUUGAAAUCCAAAGUGGGAGUUUCAUUACUACCCAAUAUUUUGAUUUCUUCUACUCCACUCUCCACACGUUUAUCAUCAAGAUAGGUGGACUCCGAAUCGUUGGGGUUUUUUUCAACCAAAGUGGAUUCAUAUCCAGCCCCUUCAUCAAUAGGUUUGACACGCGAAAACAAAGAUUCAAGAGGAGUCACACCAAGCACUUUAAGAUCUUCGUGAUUUGCAUCACUAGAACGCACCCUUUUAAACCAUUCAUGCCUAGCGUGAAUUUGGGCGGUUCUUUCUUUGCUCUCAUUCAUGGAGACACGCAUAGCUUUUAAAGUUUCAUCCAAGUUGACCUUGGGAGGAGCACAUCUAACUUUCAAAGCAUCAAUAUCACAAGACAUCCUAUCAACGCUCUUAGCCAAAUCGUCUAUUUUGAGUAGUUUUUCCUCUAUGGACGCAUUGAAAAUCUUUUGAGAGUUGAUGAACUCUUUGAUAUUACUCUCUAAAUCAGAGGGUAAUUUGUUGUGAUUUCCAUAAGUGUUGUUGUAGGAAUUGCCAUAAUUGUUAGAGGGGUUACUAGGAAAAGGCCUAGGAACAUAGUUUCCUCUAAAAGCAUUGUUGUUGCCAAAAUUGUUCCUACCAACAAAAUUAACGUCCAAACUAGCGUUGCUACUCUCAAUCAAGGAAGAUAGUGGCAUGUCAUUAGGAUCUAAAGGAGCAUUUCUACUAGCAACCAAAUUCAUCAACUCGUCCACCUUAGCACUAAGCGAGUUAAUUUCUUCUAUAGCGUGUACCUUUUUUCUAGCAGGUGACCUUUCACUGUGCCACUGAGAGUAGUUGGUCAUGAUAUUGUCUAGGAGUUUUGUAGCGUCUCCUAACGUGAUUUCCAUGAAUGUUCCACCUGAGGCGGAGUCCAAGAUAUUGCGAGAAGCAAAAUUCAACCCAGCGUAAAAGAUUUGUAUAAUCAUCCACAAACUCAAGCCAUGAGCGGGACAAUUUCUAAUCAUUAACUUCAUCCUCUCCCAAGAUUGUGCAACGUGUUCAUGACCAAGUUGCUUGAAAUUCAUGAUAUCGUUACGUAGAGAGAUAAUCUUAGCCGGCGGAAAAUACUUGGAUAUGUAAGCAUCUUUGCACUUAUCCCAAGAACCUAUACUAUUUUUAGGCAAAGAAGAAAACCAAGUUUUUGCGCGAUCUCGCAACGAGAAAGGAAAAGGCUUCAACUUAAUCACGUCAUUAUCCACAUCUCUUUUCUUUUUCAUAUCGCAAAGCUCAAUGAUGGUAUUGAGAUGGGAUGCGGCAUCUUCACUAGGAAGGCCAGAGAAUUGCUCUUUCAUAACAAGAUUCAGCAAGGCAGCGUUGAUUUCAUAUGAUUCCGCACUAGUGGCGGGAGCAAUUGGAGUACUAAUAAAAUCAUUAUUAUUAGUACUCAAAAAGUCGCAAAGUUUGGUGUUUUCAGCCAUGAUGACUUCAACAAACCAACAAGAACACAAGCAAGCAAGAAAACCGGCAAAGGAAAACGACAAAAGGCAAAUGAAAACAGCAAAGGAGAAAGGCAAAAAGGCAAAAGAAAACGGCAAAGGAGAAAGGCAAAAAGGCAAAAGAAAACGGCAAAGGAGAAAGGCAAAUGAAAACGGCAAAUGUGAAGUGGGGGAGAGGAAAACGAGAGGCAACUGGCAAAAAAAGGAAAUGCAAGAGAUAAGUUUGUGACACCUACUUGGAUAGAUCUUGACUUGAUCUCUUCUUCCCCGGCAGCGGCGCUAGAAAUACUUCUGCUACGGCAACAAAAGUCCUUCCAACGACGCCAAAAAUAAGCGUGUUGACGGGAGACUAUUCAAGCAAUCCUCCCCUGCAACGGCACCAGGAAUCCUUCUGCUACGGGCUACGCCUUUAAGGGACUUCCUGGACAAAUACGCAAAGGAUUCCCUCGUGGCCUUGGAGCCUUACGUUGGUGUUCCCUCGAAGCGGAAAGGGUGAUGAAGCACAGCGGCGGUAAGUAUUUCCCUCAGUUUUGAGAACCAAGGUAUCGAUCCAGUGGGAGGAUCGUGUCAAGUCACAAGUACCCGCACAAACUCAAAGAGCUUGCACCCAACGCUAUGAAGGGGUUGUCAAUCCCUUAUAGAUUGUUUCCAAAGUGAGAACUAAAAGCAAAAAGUAAACAAAGCAAAGUAAAAGUGAAAGUGGAGACGAUAGUUGUGAAUACACCCGGGGGCCGUAGUGUUCACUAGUGGCUUCUCUCAUGAAAGCAAGUAGACGGUGGGUGAACGAAUUACUGUCGAGCAAUUGAUAGAACCACGCAAAGUCGUGACAUUAUCUAUGGAAAUGAUUAUAUCUAUAGGCAUCACGUCCAAAACAAGUAGACCGAUACUUUCUGCAUCUACUACUAUUACUCCACACGUCGACCGCUAUCCAACAUGCAUCUAGUGUAUUAAGUUCAUAAGAAUAGAGUAACGCCUUAAGCAAGAUGACAUGAUGUAGAUGGACAAUCUCAUAUCUAUGAUAAAAGCCCAUCUUGUUACCCUUGAUGGAAACAACAUGAUGCGUGCCUUGCUGCCCCUUCUGUCACUGGGAAAGGUCACCACACGGUAUGAACCCAAAACCAAGCACUUCUCCCUUUGCAAGAAUCAUAGAUCNNNNNNNNNNNNNNNNNNNNNNNNNNNNNNNNNNNNNNNNNNNNNNNNNNNNNNNNNNNNNNNNNNNNNNNNNNNNNNNNNNNNNNNNNNNNNNNNNNNNGCAAUCCUUCAUGUCCCACUAUUCUUGGUAGACCUUUCCUAAGGACUAUUGGUGCUAUCAUCGAUAUGAAGGAAGGGAAUAUUAGAUUUCAAUUUCCUUUAAAGAAGGGCAUGGAGCACUUUCGUAGAAAGAAAAUAAGAUUGCCUUAUGAAUCUAUGAUGAGGGCUACCUAUGGUUUGAGCACCAAAGAUGACUAUACGUGAUUUCAUCACCUUUCGCCUAGCUAAGGGCGUUAAACAAAAGCGCUUGUUGGGAGGCAACCCAACGAAUCUAUCCUUUUUCUUUCUGUUUCGUGUUUCCCACACUUUCAUAAUUCUGUUACGAUUGUGUUUUUUGUGUUUCUUUUUGCGUUUGUGCCAAGCAAAACCGUUAUGAUUAGUCUUGGGGAUGAUCGUUUGGUCAUGCUGGAAAAGACAGAAACUUUCUGCUCACGAAAAGAAUAUUCAUUUUUUUGUAAGAGCUUUUGAGUUGAUUCUUUUUUGCUUCUGAUUGCUACGCAAAUUCUUCAGACUGUNNNNNNNNNNNNNNNNNNNNNNNNNNNNNNNNNNNNNNNNNNNNNNNNNNNNNNNNNNNNNNNNNNNNNNNNNNNNNNNNNNNNNNNNNNNNNNNNNNNNACCUUUGGUCCCGGUUGAUGCCAUGAACCGAGACCAAUGCCUUUGCUAUAUAAGCCAACACUUUGGAAAUUUCAGAUUUCACGGUGCCGCGAGCUCGUACACGCACCCGAUGACGCCGCGAGCUCAUCCACGGCGCCGCUAGGCUGCCCCGUUGCCGUCGCCCGUCGCCCUCCGGCCCUCGAGCUCGUCUCCCUCCGCCCCCGCCCCCCGCCGCCGUCGCCUUCGCCCUCCGCCGCCCCGAGCCGUCGCCCGUCACCGUCGCCCUCGCCCUCCGCCCCCUGCCGCCGUCGCCGUCGCCGUCGCCGCCCACGCCGUCGCCCCGGCCGCCCCCGAUGUGAGCCGCCGCCGCCACGACUCUGUUUUUUUAUUUAUUUAUUGUUUUUAAUUUUUGAUUUCUUUGGUGAUAUUAUUGUUGAAUAUGCAUGUUUGUAUGUUCAUAUAUAUGCAAAGAUCGAAUAUGUCAAAUUUGUAGUCAUCCAGAUCUUUGUUCGAAACCUUUUUUUUUAAAUUAAACUAACAAUGUAUAUGUGAGUAGAUUGAUCAAUGGUACUAAAAUAAAUAAAAAUAAGCAUGGCAGCAGUAUAUGUGAGUUUUGACUUUUGAGUGAUAUUUUUACAUUUGACAAAAGCAUGGCAUCAUAUAAGGUUUUCCUUAUACUUUCUGUGAGCCACAUUAUAUGUCCACAAGAAAUAAAAAGGGACAACACAUGUGCUCAAUAUAUCAUUUUAAAGUAUCAAUGAAUGAAUCAUAAAGUUUUUAUGUACAAAAAACGCAACCUUGCGGGAAUGUUAAACAUUUGUGCAUAGUACUAAAGCAAAUUAAAGAAAUUUUCUAACACUUCACUUUCCAUAGACAUAAAUAUUCUAUACUAGCUAUCAAGUGCAUCCAUAGACAUAAAUCAGGAACACAUCUAAUAUAACAAGUCAAUAUAUAAAGUUGGAUAGGCUACCAUGGCAUUAAAAAUGGCAGAUCAUAAUGUCUCAACAAGAGUGCAUGGCAUGCUCAUACCUAAUUUCANNNNNNNNNNNNNNNNNNNNNNNNNNNNNNNNNNNNNNNNNNNNNNNNNNNNNNNNNNNNNNNNNNNNNNNNNNNNNNNNNNNNNNNNNNNNNNNNNNNNAUUGUUGCAAAUAAGAACUAUGUACCCGUGGAUUUCAUUGUACUUGACAUAGAUUGCAAUCCUUCAUGUCCCAUUAUUCUUGGUAGACCUUUCCUAAGGACUAUUGGUGCUAUCAUCAAUAUGAAGGAAGGGAAUAUUAGAUUUCAAUUUCCUCUAAAUAAGGUCAUGGAGCAUUUUCCUAGAAAGAAAAUAAGAUUGCCUUAUGAAUCUAUGAUGAGGGCUACUUAUGGUUUGAGCACCAAAGAUGACUAUACGUGAUUCCAUCACCUUUUGCCUAGCUAAGGGCGUUAAACAAUAGCGCUUGUUGGGAGGCAACCCAACGAAUCUAUCCUUUUUUUGUUUUGUGUUUUCCACACUUCCAUAACUCUGUUAUGAUUGUGUUUUUUGUGUUUCUUUUGUGUUUGUGCCAAGUAAAACCGUUAUGAUUAGUCUUGGGGAUGAUCGUUUGGUCAUGCUGGAAAAGAACAGAAACUUUCUUCUCACGAAAAGAAUUUUUCAUUWUUUUUCUUUAAGAGCUUUUGAGUUGAUUCUUUUUGNNNNNNNNNNNNNNNNNNNNNNNNNNNNNNNNNNNNNNNNNNNNNNNNNNNNNNNNNNNNNNNNNNNNNNNNNNNNNNNNNNNNNNNNNNNNNNNNNNNNAGGGCUUCUACAUCAACAUCAUCGCCUCUCCAAUGACUCGUGAGUAGUUCACUUCAGACCUACGGGUCCGUAGUUAGUAGCUAGAUGGCUUCUUCUCUCUCUUGGAUCUUCAAUACAAAGUUCUCCAUGAUCUUCAUGGAGAUCUAUCCGAUGUAAUCCUCUUUGGCGGUGUGUUUGUCGAGAUCCGAUGAAUUGUGGAUUUGUAAUCAGAUUAUCUAUGAAAUAUAUUUGAGUCUUUGCUGAUUUCUUAUAUGCAUGAUUUGAUAUCCUUGUAAGUCUCUCCGAGUCUUGGGUUUGUUUGGCCAACUAGAUCUAUGAUUCUUGCAAUGGGAGAAGUGCUUGGUUUUGGGUUCAUACCGUGUGGUGACCUUUCCCAGUGACAGAAGGGGUAGCAAGGCACGCAUCGUGUUGUUGCCAUCAAGGGUAACAAGAUGGGCUUUUAUCAUAGAUAUGAGAUUGUCCAUCUACAUCAUGUCAUCUUGCUUAAGGCGUUACUCUGUUCUUAUGAACUUAAUACACUAGAUGCAUGCUGGAUAGCGGUCGACGUGUGGAGUAAUAGUAGUAGAUGCAGAAANNNNNNNNNNNNNNNNNNNNNNNNNNNNNNNNNNNNNNNNNNNNNNNNNNNNNNNNNNNNNNNNNNNNNNNNNNNNNNNNNNNNNNNNNNNNNNNNNNNNGACAAUGUGGAAUUGUUUCACAGUUGACACCGCCUGGAACACCACAGCGUAAUGGUGUGUCCGAACGUCGUAAUCGUACUUUAUUAGAGAUGUGCGAUCUAUGAUGUCUCUUACCGAUUUGCCGUUAUCGUUUUGGGGUUAUGCAUUAGAAACAGCUGCAUUCAAUUUAAAUAGGGCACCAUCAAAAUCCGUUGAGAAGACACCAUACGAACUGUGGUAUGGCAAAAGGCCAAAGUUGUCAUUUCUUAAAGUUUGGGGAUGUGAUGCUUAUGGCAAAAAGCUUCAGCCUGAAAAGCUAGAACCCAAAGCGGAAAAGUGCAUCUUCAUAGGUUACCCAAAAAAGACAGUUGGGUACACCUUCUAUCUCAAAUCCGAGGGCAAAGUGUUUGUUGCUAAAAAUGGAGCUUUUCUCGAGAAGGAGUUUCUCUCGAGAGAAUUGAGUGGGAGGAAGAUAGAACUUGACGAGGUUGUCGAACCUCUCUGGAUGGUGGCGCAGGACAAGGGGAAACCCCUGUCAUUGCGACGCCGGUUGAGGAGGAAGUUAAUGAUGAUGAUCAUGAAACUCUGGUUCAAGUUUCUGUCGAACCACGCAGGUCGACGAGACCACGUGCUGCUCCAGAGUGGUACGGUAAUCCCGUCUUGUCGAUCAUGUUGUUGGACAACAAUGAACCUGCAAAUUAUGAAGAAGCAAUGGUGGGCCCGGAUUCCAACAAAUGGCUAGAAGCCAUGAAGUCCGAGAUAGGAUCCAUGUAUGAGAACAAAGUGUGGACUUUGGAGGUACUGCCUGAGGGCCGCAAGGCUAUUCAGAACAAAUGGAUCUUUAAGAGGAAGAGGGACGCUGACGGCAAUGUGACCGUUUAUAAAGCUCGACUUGUGGCAAAGGGUUUUCGCAAGUUCAAGGAGUUGACUACGAUGAGACAUUCUCACCCGUAGCGAUGCUUAAGUCCGUCAGUAUCAUGUUAGCAAUAGCUGCAUUUUCGAUUAUGAAAUUUGGCAGAUGGAUGUCAAAACGGCGUUCCUUAACGGUUUCCUUAAGUAAGAAUUGAAUAUGAUGCAACCCGAAGGUUUUUUCGAUCCUAAGAAUGCUAACAAGGUGUGCAAGCUCCAGCGAUCCAUUUAUGGACUGGUGCAAGCAUCUCGAAGUUGGAACAAACGCUUUGAUGAGGUGAUCAAAGCAUUUGGGUUUAUACAAGUGGUUGGAGAAUCUUGUAUUUACAAGAAAGUGAGUGGGAGCACUGUGGCGUUUCUAAUAUUAUAUGUGGAUGACAUAUUGCUGAUUGGAAACAAUGUGGAGUUUUUGGAGAGCAUAAAGGAUUACUUGAAUAAAAGUUUCUCUAUGAAGGACCUAGGAGAAGCUGCUUACAUUCUAGGCAUUAAGAUCUAUAGGGAUAGAUCAAAACUCCUGAUAGGACUUUCACAAAGCACAUACCUUGAUAAAGUUUUGAAGAGGUUCAAAAUGGAACAGUCCAAGAAAGGGUUCUUGCCAGUUUUACAAGGUACGAGAUUGAGUAAGACUCAGUGCCCAGCAACUGAUGAAGAUAGAGAGCAUAUGCGCUCCGUCCCCUAUGCUUCAGCCAUAGGUUCUAUCAUGUAUGCAAUGUUGUGCACUAGACUGGAUGUUAGCCUGGCCAUAAGUAUGGCGGGUAGGUUCCAGAGUAAUCCAGGAGUGGAUCACUGGACAGCGGUCAAGAAUAUCCUGAAGUACCUGAAAAGGACUAAGGAUAUGUUUCUCGUGUAUGGAGGUGACGAAGAGCUCGCCAUAAAAGGUUACCUCGAUGCAAGCUUUGACACAGAUCCGGACGACUCUAAGUCGCAAACCGGAUACGUAUUUAUUCUUAAUGGGGAUGCGGUAAGCUGGUGCAGUUCCAAGCAAAGCGUCGUAGCAGAUUCCACAUGUGAAGCGGAGUACAUGGCUGCCUCGGAGGCGGCUAAGGAGGGUGUCUGGAUGAAGCAGUUCAUGACGGAUCUUGGAGUAGUGCCAAGCGCACUGAAUCCAAUAACCUUGUUCUGUGACAACACGGGUGCCAUUGCUUUAGCAAAGGAACCACGGUUUCACAAGAAGACCAGACACAUCAAACGACGCUUCAACCUCAUCCGCGACUACGUCGAAGGAGAGGACGUAAAUAUAUGCAAAGUGCACACGGAUGUGAAUGUAGCAGACCCGCUGACUAAACCUCUUCCACGGCCAAAGCAUGAUCAACACCAGAACUGUAUGGGUGUUAGAUUUAUUACAAUGUAAUUCGCAUGAUGAUGUGAGGGCUAGAUUAUUGACUCUAGUGCAAGUGGGAGACUGUUGGAAUUAUGCCCUAGAGGCAAUAAUAAAUAUAGUUAUUAUUAUAAUUCCUGUAUCAAGAUAAUCGUUUAUUAUCCAUGCUAUAAUUGUAUUGAAUGAAGACCCAUCUACAUGUGUGGAUACAUAGACAAAACACCGUCCCUAGCAAGCCUCUAGUUGGCUAGCCAGUUGAUCAAAGAUAGUCAGUGUCUUCUGAUUAUGAACAAGGUGUUGUUGCUUGAUAACUGGAUCACGUCAUUAGGAGAAUCACGUGAUGGACUAGACCCAAACUAAUAGACGUAGCAUGUUGAUCGUGUCAUUUUGUUGCUACUGUUUUCUGCGUGUCAAGUAUUUAUUCCUAUGACCAUGAGAUCAUAUAACUCACUGACACCGGAGGAAUGCUUUGUGUGUAUCAAACGUCGCAACGUAACUGGGUGACUAUAAAGAUGCUCUACAGGUAUCUCCGAAGGUGUUAGUUGAGUUAGUAUGGAUCAAGACUGGGAUUUGUCACUCCGUGUGACGGAGAGGUAUCUCGGGGCCCACUCGGUAAUACAACAUCACACACAAGCCUUGCAAGCAAUGUGACUUAGUGUAAGUUGCGGGAUCUUGUAUUACAGAACGAGUAAAGAGACUUGCUGGUAAACGAGAUUGAAAUAGGUAUGCGGAUACUGACGAUCGAAUCUCGGGCAAGUAACAUACCGAAGGACAAAGGGAAUGACAUACGGGAUUAUAUGAAUCCUUGGCACUGAGGUUCAAACGAUUAGAUCUUCGUAGAAUAUGUAGGAUUCAAUAUGGGCAUCCAGGUCCCGCUAUUGGAUAUUGACCGAGGAGUCUCUCGGGUCAUGUCUACAUAGUUCUCGAACCCGCAGGGUCUGCACACUUAAGGUUCGACGUUGUUUUAUGCGUAUUUGAGUUAUAUGGUUGGUUACAGAAUGUUGUUCGGAGUCCCGGAUGAGAUCACGGACGUCACGAGGGUUUCCGGAAUGGUCCGGAAACGAAGAUUGAUAUAUAGGAUGACCUCAUUUGAUUACCGGAAGGUUUUUGGAGUUACCUGGAAUGUACCGGGAAUGACGAAUGGGUUCCGGGAGUUCACCGGGGGGGGCAACCCACCCUGGGGAAGCCCAUAGGCCUUGAGGGUGGCACACCAGCCCUUAGUGGGCUGGUGGGACAGCCCAAAAGGGCCCUAUGCGCCUAGGAAAGAAAAUCAAAGAGAAAAGAAAAAAAAGGAGGUGGGAAGGGAAGGAAGGACUCCCACCCACCAAACCAAGUCCAACUCGGUUUGGGGGGGAGCCUUCCCCCUUGGACUCGGCCGACCCCCUUGGGGCUCCUUGAGCCCCAAGGCAAGGUGCCCUCCCUCCCACCUAUAUAUACGGAGGUUUUAGGGCUGAUUUGAGACGACUUUUCCACGGCAGCCCGACCACAUACCUCCACGGUUUUUCCUCUAGAUCGCGUUUCUGCGGAGCUCGGGCGGAGCCCUGCUGAGACAAGGUCAUCACCAACCUCCGGAGCGCCGUCACGCUGCCGGAGAACUCUUCUACCUCUCCGUCUCUCUUGCUGGAUCAAGAAGGCCGAGAUCAUCGUCGAGCUGUACGUGUGCUGAACGCGGAGGUGCCGUCCGUUCGGUACUAGAUCGUGGGACUGAUCGCGGGAUUGUUCGCGGGGCGGAUCGAGGGACGUGAGGACGUUCCACUACAUCAACCGCGUUCACUAACGCUUCUGUUGUACGAUCUACAAGGGUACAUAGAUCACUCAUCCCCUCUCGUAGAUGGACAUCACCAUGAUAGGUCUUCGUGCGUAGGAAAAAUUUUGUUUCCCAUGCGACGUUCCCUACAGUGGCAUCAUGAGCUAGGUUCAUGCGUAGAUGUCUUCUCGAGUAGAACACAAAAGUUUUUGUGGGCGGUGAUGUGCGUUUUGCUUCCCUCCUUAGUCUUUUCUUGAUUCCGCGAUAUUGUUGGAUUGAAGUGGCUUGGACCGACAUUACUCGUACGCUUACGAGAGACUGGUUUCAUCGCUACGAGUAACCCCGUUGCUCAAAGAUGACUGGCAAGUGUCGGUUUCUCCAACUUUAGUUGAAUCGGAUUUGACCGAGGAGGUCCUUGGAUGAGGUUAAAUAGCAACUCAUAUAUCUCCGUUGUGGUGUUUGCGUAAGUAAGAUGCGAUCCUACUAGAUACCCAUGGUCACCACAUAAAACAUGCAACAACAAAAUUAGAGGACGUCUAACUUCUUUUUGCAGGGUAUGCUUGUGAUGUGAUAUGGCCAACGAUGUGAUGUGAUAUAUUGGAUGCAUGAGAUGAUCAUGUUGUAAUAGAAAAUAUCGACUUGCACGUCGAUGGUACGGCAACCGGCAGGAGCCAUAGGGUUGUCUUUAUACUAACGUUUGUGCUUGCAGAUGCGUUUACUAUUUUGCUAGGAUGUAGCUUUAGUAGUAAUAGCAUGAGUAUCAUGACAACCCCGAUGGCAACACGUUGAUGGAGAUCAUGGUGUGGCGCCGGUGACAAGAAGAUCGUGCCGGUGCUUUGGUGAUGGAGAUCAAGAAGCACGUGAUGAUGGCCAUAUCAUGUCACUUAUGAAUUGCAUGUGAUGUUAAUCCUUUAUGCACCUUAUUUUGCUUAGAACGACGGUAGCAUUAUGAGGUGAUCUCUCACUAAAAUUUCAAGACAAAAUUGUGUUCUCCCCGACUGUGCACUGUUGCUACUGUUCGUCGUUUCGAGACACCACGUGAUGAUCGGGUGUGAUAGACUCAACGUUCACAUACAACGGGUGCAAAACAGUUGCGCACGCGGAACACUCGGGUUAAGCUUGACGAGCCUAGCAUGUGCAGACAUGGCCUCGGAACACAUGAGACCGAAAGGUCGAUCAUGAAUCAUAUAGAUGAUAUGAUUAGCAUAGGGAUGCUUACCACUGAAACUAUACUCAACUCACGUGAUGAUCGGACUUGAGCUAGUGUAAGUGGAUCAUGAACCACUCAAAUGACUAGAGAGAUGUACUUUUUGAGUGGGAGUUUAGCAAAUAAUUUGAUUAAGUUAAACUCUAAUUAUCUUGAUCAUAGUCUAAGUCCACUUUGAAUAUAUUUGUGUUGUAGAUCAUGGCUCACGCGACAGUCACCCUGAAUUUUAAUACGUUCCUAGAGAAAGCUAAGUUGAAAGAUGAUGGAAGCAACUUUGUAGACUGGGCUCGUAAUCUUAAGCUAAUCUUACAAGCUGGGAAGAAGAAUUAUGUCCUUAAUGCUGCACUAGGAGAUGAACCACCCGCUACGGCUGAUCAGGUUGUUAAGAACGCUUGGUUAGCACGUAAGGAGGACUACUCAGUAGUUCAAUGUGCAGUCUUGUAUGGCUUAGAACCGGGACUUCAACGUCGCUUUGAACGUCAUGGAGCAUUUGAGAUGUUCCAGGAGUUGAAGUUUAUCUUUCAGAAGAACGCCCGGAUCGAGAGGUAUGAGACCUCCGAUAAAUUCUAUGCUUGCAAGAUGGAGGAGAACUCGUCUGUCAGUGAACAUGUGCUCAAAAUGUCUGGGUACUCAAACCGUCUAGCUGAGCUGGGGAUUGAACUCCCGCAAGAGGCUAUCACUGACAGAAUCCUUCAAUCACUGCCGCCAAGCUAUAAAGGCUUUGUGUUGAACUACAACAUGCAAGGGAUGAACAAGUCACCCGGCGAGUUGUUUGCGAUGCUGAAAGUCGCAGAGUCUGAACUCCGUAAAGAACAUCAAGUGUUGAUGGUGAAUAAGACCACUAGUUUCAAGAGAAACGGCAAAGGCAAGAAGGGUAAUUCAAAGAAGACCGGCAAGCCUGUUGCCAAUCCGACGAAGAAACCCAAAGCUGGACCUAAGCCUGAAACAGAGUGCUACUAUUGCAAGGGUAUGGGUCACUGGAAGCGCAACUGCCCCAAGUAUCUGGCUGAUAAGAAGGCGGCCAAAGAAAAAUCAGGUAUAUUUGAUAUACAUGUUAUUGAUGUGUACUUAACCAGCUCUCGUAGUAGUGCCUGGGUAUUCGAUACCGGUUCUGUUGCUCAUAUUUGCAACUCGAAACAGGAACUGCGGAAUAGACGAAGGCUGGCGAAAGAUGAAGUGACGAUGUGCGUAGGAAAUGGUUCCAAGGUUGAUGCAAUCGCCGUCGGCACAAUUUCACUUCAGUUACCAUCAGGAUUAGUGAUGAACUUAAAUCAUUGUUAUUUAGUGCCUGCGUUGAGCAUGAACAUUAUAUCUGGAUCUUGUUUAUUGCCAGACGGUUGCUCUUUUAAGUCAGAGAAUAAUGGUUGUUCUAUUUCUAUGAGUAACAUCUUUUAUGGUCAUGCACCUAAUGUGAGAGGAUUGUUCAUAUUGAAUCUUGAUAGCGAUACACAUAUACAUAACAUUGAGACCAAAAGAGUUAGAGUUAACAAUGAUAGCACCAUAUUUUUGUGGCACUGCCGCUUACGUCAUAUUGGUGUAAAGCGCAUGAAGAAACUCCAUGCUGAUGGACUUUUGGAGUCACUUGACUUUGAUUCACUUGACACGUGCGAACCAUGCCUCAUGGGCAAGAUGACUAAGACUCCAUUCUCCGGAACUAUGGAGCGUGCAAGUGACUUGUUGGAAAUCAUACAUACCGAUGUGUGUGAUCCGAUGAGCGUAGAGGCGCGCGGCGGAUAUCGUUAUUUUCUCACCUUCACUGACGAUUUGAGUAGAUAUGGUUAUGUCUACUUGAUGAAGCACAAGUCUGAAACAUUUGAAAAGUUCAAGCAAUUUCAGAGUGAAGUGGAAAAUCAUCGUAACAAGAAGAUCAAGUUCCUACGGUCUGAUCGUGGGGGUGAAUAUCUGAGUUUCGGUUUUGGUGCUCACUUAAGACAAUGUGGAAUUGUUUCACAGUUGACACCGCCUGGAACACCACAGCGUAAUGGUGUGUCCGAACGUCGUAAUCGUACUUUAUUAGAGAUGUGCGAUCUAUGAUGUCUCUUACCGAUUUGCCGUUAUCGUUUUGGGGUUAUGCAUUAGAAACAGCUGCAUUCAAUUUAAAUAGGGCACCAUCAAAAUCCGUUGAGACGACACCAUACGAACUGUGGUAUGGCAAAAGGCCAAAGUUGUCAUUUCUUAAAGUUUGGGGAUGUGAUGCUUAUGUCAAAAAGCUUCAGCCUGAAAAGCUAGAACCCAAAGCGGAAAAGUGCAUCUUCAUAGGUUACCCAAAAAAGACAGUUGGGUACACCUUCUAUCUCAAAUCCGAGGGCAAAGUGUUUGUUGCUAAAAAUGGAGCUUUUCUCGAGAAGGAGUUUCUCUCGAGAGAAUUGAGUGGGAGGAAGAUAGAACUUGACGAGGUUGUCGAACCUCUCUGGAUGGUGGCGCAGGACAAGGGGAAACCCCUGUCAUUGCGACGCCGGUUGAGGAGGAAGUUAAUGAUGAUGAUCAUGAAACUCUGGUUCAAGUUUCUGUCGAACCACGCAGGUCGACGAGACCACGUGCUGCUCCAGAGUGGUACGGUAAUCCCGUCUUGUCGAUCAUGUUGUUGGACAACAAUGAACCUGCAAAUUAUGAAGAAGCAAUGGUGGGCCCGGAUUCCAACAAAUGGCUAGAAGCCAUGAAGUCCGAGAUAGRUCCAUGUAUGAGAACAAAGUGUGGACUNNNNNNNNNNNNNNNNNNNNNNNNNNNNNNNNNNNNNNNNNNNNNNNNNNNNNNNNNNNNNNNNNNNNNNNNNNNNNNNNNNNNNNNNNNNNNNNNNNNNNNNNNNNNNNNNNNNNNNNNNNNNNNNNNNNNNNNNNNNNNNNNNNNNNNNNNNNNNNNNNNNNNNNNNNNNNNNNNNNNNNNNNNNNNNNNNNNNNNNNNNNNNNNNNNNNNNNNNNNNNNNNNNNNNNNNNNNNNNNNNNNNNNNNNNNNNNNNNNNNNNNNNNNNNNNNNNNNNNNNNNNNNNNNNNNNNNNNNNNNNNNNNNNNNNNNNNNNNNNNNNNNNNNNNNNNNNNNNNNNNNNNNNNNNNNNNNNNNNNNNNNNNNNNNNNNNNNNNNNNNNNNNNNNNNNNNNNNNNNNNNNNNNNNNNNNNNNNNNNNNNNNNNNNNNNNNNNNNNNNNNNNNNNNNNNNNNNNNNNNNNNNNNNNNNNNNNNNNNNNNNNNNNNNNNNNNNNNNNNNNNNNNNNNNNNNNNNNNNNNNNNNNNNNNNNNNNNNNUCACGGACGUCACGAGGGUUUCCGGAAUGGUCCGGAAACGAAGAUUGAUAUAUAGGAUGACCUCAUUUGAUUACCGGAAGGUUUUUGGAGUUACCUGGAAUGUACCGGGAAUGACGAACUGGGUUCCGGGAGUUCACCGGGGGGGGCAACCCACCCUGGGGAAGCCCAUAGGCCUUGAGGGUGGCACACCAGCCCUUAGUGGGCUGGUGGGACAGCCCAAAAGGGCCCUAUGCGCCUAGGAAAGAAAAUCAAAGAGAAAAGUAAAAAAAAGGAGGUGGGAAGGGAAGGAAGGACUCCCACCCACCAAACCAAGUCCAACUCGGUUUGGGGGGGAGCCUUCCCCCUUGGACUCGGCCGACCCCCUUGGGGCUCCUUGAGCCCCAAGGCAAGGUCCCCUCCCUCCCACCUAUAUAUACGGAGGUUUUAGGGCUGAUUUGAGACGACUUUUCCACGGCAGCCCGACCACAUACCUCCACGGUUUUUCCUCUAGAUCGCGUUUCUGCGGAGCUCGGGCGGAGCCCUGCUGAGACAAGGUCAUCACCAACCUCCGGAGCGCCGUCACGCUGCCGGAGAACUCUUCUACCUCUCCGUCUCUCUUGCUGGAUCAAGAAGGCCGAGAUCAUCGUCGAGCUGUACGUGUGCUGAACGCGGAGGUGCCGUCCGUUCGGUACUAGAUCGUGGGACUGAUCGCGGGAUUGUUCGCGGGGCGGAUCGAGGGACGUGAGGACGUUCCACUACAUCAACCGCGUUCACUAACGCUUCUGCUGUACGAUCUACAAGGGUACAUAGAUCACUCAUCCCCUCUCGUAGAUGGACAUCACCAUGAUAGGUCUUCGUGCGCGUAGGAAAAAUUUUGUUUCCCAUGCGACGUUCCCUACAGUUAAAGCAUUAGGUAAACCAGUCUCGCAUCAUGUACCAUGUGUGGUCACAAUUGAACCUAAUAGUCCUCGUGGUAAGCUGUUCAGAUUUGAAUCAUUUUGAGUGGACCGUCCAGGGUUCAUCGAUGUUGUCUCUUUUGCUUGGAACCAACAUGUUAACAUUGCAAAUUGUGCCGCCAUGUGCUAUCCCACAGAUAACAGCGCCACAAGUUGACACAUUGACAAAGGUUGGGCUUGCGUUGGUUCUUCCCUUGAAGAGGAAAGGGUGAUGCGGCACAGGAGCAGUAAGUAUUUCCCUCAGUUUGAGAACCAAGGUAUCGAUCCAGAAGGAGGGUCUCGUCAAGUACAGAGUACGUGCGCAAACACAAACAAGCUUGCACCCAACGCUUCAAAGGGGUUGUCAAUCCCUUCAAGAUUGUUUGCAAAGUGAGAUUUGAAGGCAGAAAGUGCAACGAAGUAAAAGUGUAAGGCUGAAAAUAUGGUAUGGAGUAGACCCUGGGGGGCAUAGUGUUCACUAGAGUCUUCUCUCAAAAUAGCAAGUAUCACGGUGGGUGAACAAAUUACUGUCGAGCAAUUGAUAGAACCGCGCAAAGUCAUGACGAUAUCUAAGGCAAUGAUCAUGCAUAUAGGCAUCAUGUCCGAGACAAGUAGACCGAUACUUUCUGCAUCUACUACUAUUACUCCACACAUCGACCGCUAUCCAGCAUGCAUCUAGUGUAUUGAGUUCAUGACGAACAGAGUAACGCUUUAAGCAAGAUGACAUAAUGUAGAGGGAUAAUCUCAAACCAAUGAUGAAAACCCCAUCUUUUUACCCUUGACGGCAACAACACGAUGCGUGCCUCGCUACCCCUUCUCUCACUGGGUGAGGUCACCACACGGUAUGAACCCAAAACCAAGCACUUCUCCCAUUGCAAGAAUCAUAGAUCUAGUAGGCCAAACAAAACCCACAACUCGAAGAGAAUUACAAGGAUAUGAAAUCAUGCAUAAGAGAGAUCAUAAGAAACUCAAAUAAUAUUCAUAGAUAAUCUAAUAAUAAAUCCACAAUUCAUCGGAUCUCGACAAACACACCGCAAAAGAAGAUUACAUCGGAUAGAUCUCCAUGAAGAUCAUGGAGAACUUUGUAUUGAAGAUCCAAGAGAGAGAAGAAGCCAUCUAGCUACUAGCUAUGGACCCGUAGGUCUAUGGUGAACUACUCACGCAUCAUGGGAGAGGUCAUGGUGAUGAUGAAGAAGCCCUCCAUGUCCGAAACCCCCCUCCGCAGGGCACUAGGAUGUGCCCCAGAUGGGAUCUUGCGGAGACAGAAGCUUGCGGCGGUGGAAAAGCGAUUGCGAUGAUCUCCUUAUUUUUUCUGGAAUUUAUGGGAUUAUAUAGGCGAAAGACCUAGGUCAGGGGACCUCCAGGGGGCCCACAAGCCUGGAUGGCACGCCCCCCUGGUCGCGGGGUGGGGGAGUUGUGGGGCCCCUGGGGCUCUCCUGUUGGAAAUAUGCCCUAGAGGCAAUAAUAAAUUAGUUAUUAUUAUAUUUCUGUGUUCAUGAUAAUCGUUUAUUAUCCAUGCUAUAAUUGUAUUGAUUGGAAACACAGUGCAUGUGUGGAUACAUAGACAAAACACUGUCCCUAGUAAGCCUCUAGUUGACUAGCUCAUUGAUCAAAGAUGGUCAAGGUUUCCUGGCCAUAGGCAAGUGUUGUUACUUGAUAACGGGAUCACAUCAUUAGGAGAAUCAUGUGAUGGACUAGACCCAAACUAAUAGACGUAGCAUGUUGAUCGUGUCAUUUUGUUGCUACUGUUUUCUGCGUGUCAAGUAUUUGUUCCUAUGACCAUGAGAUCAUAUAACUCACUGACACCGGAGGAAUGCUUUGUGUGUAUCAAACGUCGCAACGUAACUGGGUGACUAUAAAGAUGCUCUAUAGGUAUCUCCGAAGGUGUUCGUUGAGUUAGUAUGGAUCGAGACUGGGAUUUGUCACUCCGUGUGACGGAGAGGUAUCUCGGGGCCCACUCGGUAAUACAACAUCACACACAAGCCUUGCAAGCAAUGUGACUUAGUGUAAGUUGCGGGAUCUUGUAUUACGGAACGAGUAAAGAGACUUGCCGGUAAACGAGAUUGAAAUAGGUAUGCGGAUACUGACGAUCGAAUCUCGGGCAAGUAACAUACCGAAGGACAAAGGGAAUGACAUACGGGAUUAUAUGAAUCCUUGGCACUGAGGUUCAAACGAUAAGAUCUUCGUAGAAUAUGUAGGAUCCAAUAUGGGCAUCCAGGUCCCGCUAUUGGAUAUUGACCGAGGAGUCACUCGGGUCAUGUCUACAUAGUUCUCGAACCCGCAGGGUCUGCACACUUAAGGUUCGACGUUGUUUUAUGCGUAUUUGAGUUAUAUGGUUGGUUACCGAAUGUUGAUCGGAGUCCCGGAUGAGAUCACGGACGUCACGAGGGUUUCCGGAAUGGUCCGGAAUCAAAGAUUGAUAUAUAGGAUGACCUCAUUUGGUUACCGGAAGGUUUUCGUGCAUUACCGGAAAAGUUUCGGGCUCAUCGGUAGUGUACUGGGAGUGCCGGGAGGGGUGCCGGGGACCAUCAGGAGGGGUCUCACGCCCCAAGGGGUCUCAUGGGCUAUGGGAAGAGAUAAACCAGCCCCUAGUGGGCUGGAAUAAGUUCCCACUAAGGCCCAUAACGUUUGAGAAGGAAAAAACACAAGGUGGAAAGAGUUUCCAAGUGGGAAGGUGGAAUCCUACUCCAAGUAGGAUUGGAGUAGGACUCCUCCAUCUCCACUUUCGGCCAAACCUUUAGGUUUUGAGGCUGCCUCCUCC